CCCACCUACCCCAGGGGCGGGGGAUAAAAAGGAAGCCUCACCACUGCUCUGCAUCCCCUCAGGGACCAUGGCCCAGUCAAGUGAAACUCUGCCAAGUCUCCACUGACUGAAGCUCUGCUCAUCACUCCACUGGAGCCAACCUCUCAUCAGGUGACCUCUCCAACCUUUCACCUUGCUGUUUGUCUUGGAAUUUCAAGCCUACUGCCCAGAGUGCCAGUCAUCCCACGACUCCUGCCUGAAAAGCCACUGCCUGCAGUGACAGCAUCCUGAAUGGGUACCGGUUCAAGUCCCAGCUGCUCCACUUCUGAUCCAGCUCUCUGCUAUGGCCUGGGAAAGCAGUAGAAGACGACCCAAGUCCUUGGGCCCCUGCACCUGCUUGGGAGACCUGGAAGAAUCUCCUGGCUCCUGGCUUUGGAUCAGCCCAGCUCUGGCCAUUGAGGCUAUCUGGGGAGUGAACCAUCGGAUGGAAGACCUCUCUCUCUCUCUCUCUCUGCCUCUCUGUAAAUCUGCCUUUCAAAUAAAUAAAUAAAUCUCUAAAAAAUAUAUUAAUAAAACUA